UUACAAUUAAAGGAUAUUUCUUGGGAGAAUCGAGUCAGAAAUGUCUUUUAAUUGUUUGGC
rfam:Takifugu rubripes chromosome, Chr_1